rnacentral:rRNA from 1 species
UGGGGAAUUUUGGACAAUGGGCGAAAGCCUGAUCCAGCAAUGCCGCGUGUGUGAAGAAGGCCUUCGGGUUGUAAAGCACUUUUGUCCGGAAAGAAAUGGCUCUGGUUAAUACCGGGGGUCGAUGACGGUACCGGAAGAAUAAGGACCGGCUAACUACGUGCCAGCAGCCGCGGUAAUACGUAGGGUCCAAGCGUUAAUCGGAAUUACUGGGCGUAAAGCGUGCGCAGGCGGUUGUGCAAGACCGAUGUGAAAUCCCCGAGCUUAACUUGGGAAUUGCAUUGGUGACUGCACGGCUAGAGUGUGUCAGAGGGGGGUAGAAUUCCACGUGUAGCAGUGAAAUGCGUAGAGAUGUGGAGGAAUACCGAUGGCGAAGGCAGCCCCCUGGGAUAACACUGACGCUCAUGCACGAAAGCGUGGGGAGCAAACAGG